rnacentral:lncRNA from 1 species
GGACCCGGGGCUACAGAGGACAUCGGCGUGAGUCCUCAGAAAGGGCAGAUGCCCUGAAGUGGGUGUCAGGCAGAGGGCGGGGCCUAGAGCCGGCUGAGGCCAGAGCCUCCCCACGUGUGCAAGGACGCCCUGGGUCAAAGUCACAGUACUGGAAUCUGAGCACGCGUCCGUCUGUGGCAAGAGAGAAGCACAGAUGAAGCACAUGCUUUGCUCCUGCACCGCUCCCACGCCUCCGCACUCCAGAACUGAUCCUUGGCAGCCCGGCUGCCGGAGUGAUUACCUACAAGGCAAAUCUGAUUGCGCAGCUUUCCCACUCAAAGACCUUGGAUGAAUUCCUGCUGCCGUUCAACACAGGCCUCCAAACUUUUUUUUAGUGAUGUGAAACUCUUUCUUCAAACCAAGUCUUAGAAUCCUAAGAUCAAAUGCAGGCAAAAGUGGUGAAUUUUACCACCUGUUUGUAAGUCUGGGUUUAUAACUUUACCGUAAAUCACCUAGAACACAGGCUAGCCGAAUCGGGGUGUCUGGUAUGGCAAUAUCCCGAGAGCUAACCUGGGGCUGGGGCAAUGUUCUGUGGCUGCUGCACUUGCCUCUAACAGGCCAGUUUAAAACGUCCAGGUCUCAGGGCCACAUUCUCCAGGACACAGCAGGGAGCUCACAGUAGCUCAAGACCCGGCCCAGCCUCCAUCCCCAGCCUUGGAGCUGUCAGUGCUCCCAAAGGCUGAAAGCAUUCGGUCUUGGCUGAGUGGACAGCCCCCUUCCCUUCUUCCAAGGCUUUAGAAGCCACCUAUCUCCAGAUCCCUCUCAAAAGGAGACUUCCACCCACAGAGACCCCACCCAGAAGGAGCUGUGUGUGAGGCACUGAAUGAAACCUCUUUCAGAUGGCUUAUCUCACUGUACUCUCAACAUGUGUCUCCCUUACGGGACUGUGGGCAACUUGAGGACAGGCACACCUCAUUCAUUCCUCACCCCCCACUGUACAUACGACACCUGCACAGGGAAAGUCCUUACUUUGUCUCUGUGAAAGGGUGAAUGAGUCAAGGAACUGGGAUGUUUUAAAAUAGAAUUUGUUGCUUUGGGGAACGGAAAAAUUCAGGCUUUUCAUCUGUGUUACCAGAGUUGGUAUGCUGGCUGUAAUGCUGAAAAGUCAGAAGUAAACGCGUUCCCCGGGACCCAGGGCAUGCGCUUCAUCUCAGCGGCUUCUUACAAGGAUUGGGUGCAAGUGCUGCAGCAGAAAGAUGUUUCCAGGAACAUGGGAACCAAGGCUAGGUCUGCAUCUUCUCUGAAAAACUAGCCUGUUGUUUCUCAAACACACAUCAACAUAGCCUGAUAUUUCAGAGAGGAAGGGAAGGUCGGUUACAAACGGUAUCGCCAUGAGCCGCAAACGAAUGGAAGAAAUUCCACGUUAAAAAAAUGUGAAUUUCAUUCCAUAAGAAAAACCUUUAGUACGUAGCUCAGAAAACAGUCAAGAGGCCCAUGAUCAUCUCGGUUCAGGAAAUGCUAGGCUGCUGGAGACAGCCUUUUGUUUAACCUCAUAAACAUCUAACAAACACGGAAGACAUCAACUUGAUUGUUAUUUCUCUCCUUUUAAAUACCAUCACUCCUUUUUUUUUCUUAUUUUGGGGAUAGGGUCUUGCACUCUCUCUCAGGCUGGAGUGCAGUGAUGCAAUCUUGGCUCACUGCAGCCUCAACCUCCUGGGCUCAAGCGAUCCUCCCACCUUAGCCUCCCAAGUAGCUGGGACCAACAGGUGCAUGCCAUCAUGCCCGGCUAAUAGUCUGAAUUUUUUCUUUGGAGAGAUGGGGUCUCACAAUGUUGCCCAGGCUGGUCUUGAACUCCUGGGCUCAAGCAAACCACCUGCCUCGGUCUCCCAAGGUGCUGGGAUGACAGGCCUGAGCCACCACGCCCGGCCACCGCCGCUCCCUUACCCAGGAUGAUGCCGUUGGGCUCCUCCGGAGGUUGCCACACUAUCCGCACGGAG